rnacentral:tRNA from 1 species
GUUUUUAUGGUGUAAAAAACACUCCACAUUUUCAUUGUGAAACUAAAGGUUCUAAUCCUUUUAAAAACU